GCACUGCUGAGGAGUGCCACAACAGGACGAAACGGCCGUCCAGUAC
rnacentral:hammerhead_ribozyme from 1 species